UACGGGGGGGCAAGCGUUGUUCGGAAUUACUGGGCGUAAAGGGCUCGUAGGCGGCCAACUAAGUCAUACGUGAAAUCCCUCGGCUUAACCGGGGAACUGCGUCUGAUACUGGAUGGCUAGAGUGCGGGAGAGGAGAGUGGAACUGCGAGUGUAGAGGUGAAAUUCGUAGAUAUUCGCAAGAACACCAGUGGCGAAGGCGGCUCACUGGCCCGAUACUGACGCUGAGGCACGAAAGCGUGGGGAGCAAACAGG
rnacentral:rRNA from 1 species